GUACAACAACCCAAAAGACAAAAGAACAAACAAUCUACUCAAAAACUGAAGCAAUUCAAGCUUCAGAGCUCUUUUCUACCAUCUUCUCAAGUAUCACAGACUUAAGAUUCACCAUUGGCGGUCCUUUCUCUCUACGUUCGAGUUCUUCGAGCCUGAAAGAUAUCAACCUAUCCCAGUUCCCACCUUCAAAAAGCACAGCAGCCUUACCAUCAGUAAUCCUCUGCACAAUCCCACAAUACAUAUAAUAUGGAUUAUUAGAAUUCUUGACAAUAGCAAUCAUCCCAGGUAACAAAAGUGGCAAUUCAGGUGGCUUUGGUUUCUUCACAAGACUUUGAUUAAAACCAGAAACCAUACUUGAUUCUGUUUUCUUGGGUGGUGGUGGUGGUGGAUUUUUCUCUAUAAAUUUCAUUAGACCCUUCUCACCUCCCGGAAAUCCGCCAGUAAACCCCAUCAUUUCUUUCUCAAAUCCGUCCUCCGGUAUCUCCCCAGUCUCCUUGUUUUCUUGAUUAUCAUCAUCACUAGCUGCUGCUGCUGCUGAUCCUACUGCCUUUUGUUCUUCGGAAAUCGACUUUUUUAGCUCUUUCUCUAUACCCUCUUCUCCAUUACACAGACCUCUACCUCCAAGAAUCUCAUAAAGAUUGAAUUUUGCUAUUGGUGUAACUGAGUUUGAAGAUGAUUUCAUAGCUGAUUUGGUAUGAACACUACUACUGAGGUUGAGAUUGACAGAUUGACCAAGAAAGUUUGAUUUUUUAAGAGGUGGGGUUUGAAUUUGAAGGCUUGAGAGUUGAAAGGAAGAAGCAGAAGCCAUGGUUUUGAUUUUUUUUCAAGAACUUUGGAUUUGGGAAAGAUGAUGGUAGAGGAUGAGAUGAGAAGUAGAAAUGGGAAACUGUAAUUUGUCCUUUCAAAUUCUG
rnacentral:misc_RNA from 1 species